GGGAAAUCUUGUAUCUAAUGCUUCUAGGUAGCCCAUUUGAUCCACUAAGAGUGGAUUUGGGACCUUUUACUAUUAAAAUUCAAAAAGAGAAUUAAGUGGAAUAAAUACCUGCUUUCAAACUAGACAGAUCUGGGAUCGAAUCCAGCUCAUGCCAUUUGGCAAGUAUUUAAUUCCUAAGCCUUAGCUCCGCAUGCAACCUGAGGAUGGUAACAAUCAUCACCCUCUAUAGAAUUGUUAGGGACUUGAGAAGUGGUGAGGUGUAUGGAAAAUGUUGCCCUCAAACUGGUAGCAAAGAAUAUUAACAAGAAGACUAUUACUGAGGUGUCUAGGCUGAGGAAAGAAAGGAGUUUAUUAAACCACAUCUUUUUCAGCUAACAGGACCACAGGUUAGCCUGAUUAAAGUCUCUCAAACUAUUGGGCCCAUUCUCCCUGCCUAAAAUUCAGAGUCCCUAAUAAUCACACAACACUCAUACCUGCUUGUUCACUCUUCUUUUUAUUCUUACAAAGCAUGGCAAAAUGAGGAGGCAACUGACAAGCGAAGAGUUUGCGCAGUGGAGAACCACCCUGACCGUCUCUUGACUUUACAGGGAUCGUAGGUGGAACGUUCUCUUCACUGACAGCCAUCCUCGGCUGUUCUGUUUCUGCAUCACACUCAUCCCUCAAAGUCAGUGACUGGAUCUUCUCCCAAGGUUUCCCCUGCUUUCCAUUAGGCAUGGGGAAAAAAAAUCAAGAGAGACAUUAGUGUCUACAACUGAGGAACUAUUAAUCCAAUCCACAAGAAAAGCAUCUGUUAUAGAAAGAAUGAGAUAUUCAGGGAUGUUGGAGACACUGCUCUGAACACACUUCUGCACAGAUUGCCGAGAAAGGACUCCAGGAUGUAUAACUGCCUUCUCACUUUGGAAUCCAAGGCCACCCUGUGAGUGGCAUCUAAAUCUUGCCAGUGACCUUCCUGUACAGGCCCAAGCUCCGUCUCUGACUCUCUCACCAUUUAAGAAAUUCCUCAAUGUUUCUGGUCCAAUAAAGACACAUGGCCGCUGAGGAUAAAGACUACAUUUAUCAGCCACCCCAGUGGCUUGGGAUCAUCAUGUGACUAAGUUCUAGGCAACAGGAUACAAAACUGACCUAAGUGCUCACGACAUCCUCAAGUCUACCUCCUAUUCCUUAGAACAUGCUGCUGUUGUUUCUGAUACUGACUUGCAAAAAUGCUUAUUUGAGUUUUUGUUCUUCUGCCAGCUGUUAAUAAAUAAUUAGCUUCAAA